GCGCGGGAGGCGCGGCGCACGAGUUGGUCGCUUAUAUAAUAAGGGAGAAGUCGCAUCGAUCUCGCAAAACUCUUCUAGAGACGCUGGAAACGCUUCUCAAAUCCGAAGCAGAUGAUUUGCUUCUGCAGAGCGUUGUUGAAAGCGUUAUUUAUUACGAUGAUUUAAAAUCUAAUAGACAAGCCAUCUUAGAUGUCAUUGAAAAAUUGCUACAAUUUCUAAGGGAUAAUAAUUUGUUAUGUAAGAAAUAUUUACCGGAAAUACUCACUAAAGUGUUGAAAUCUCAAGACAGAAACCUCAUCAGAAUCGUAACAGAUAUGUUCAAGGACAAAAUAGAGUUGUACGAUGAAGAUGUUCUAAAGUACGCGACAGAUAACGUGUUCGUAAUAUUGAAUUCGA